GCCAGCGUAGCAAAAUCUGGUUAAUGCGCUCGCCUCGAAAGCGAGUGUCCGCAAGGACUUCCAGGUUCAAAUCCUGGCGCUGGCG
rnacentral:tRNA from 1 species